GGGAUGACACAGUAGGAUAAGCUAAGCACACUGUUGGUUAUGUGUGCCCAAGCAUUGAGGCAGUCAAAGUAGGCAAAUCCGCUUUGAUAAUGCUGGGAUGGGAUGGGGAGCGAAAUUUAGUAGCGAAGUAGCUGAUUUCACACUGUCAAGAAAAGUCUCUAUCGAGGUUAAAGGUACCCGUACCGCAAACCGACACAGGUGGGUGAGGAGAGUAUCCUAAGGCCAGCG
rnacentral:rRNA from 1 species